rnacentral:rRNA from 1 species
GACGAACGCUGGCGGCGUGCUUAACACAUGCAAGUCGAACGGGUCUGCCCUGUUUUUUGCGGGGUGGGUCAGUGGCGAACGGGUGAGUAACACGUGAGUAACCUGCCCCUCACUUCUGGAUAACCGCUUGAAAGGGUGGCUAAUACGGGGUGUUCUGGCUGUGCCGCAUGGUGUGGCUGGGAAAGAUUCACUUUUGUGGUGUUUUGGUGGGGGAUGGGCUCGCGGCGUAUCAGCUUGGUGGUGGGGUGAUGGCCUGCCAAGGCUUUGACGGGUCGCCGGCCUGGGAGGGUGGGCGGUCACACUGGGACUGAGGUACGGCCCGGACUGCUGCGGGAGGCAGCAGUGGGGGGUAUUGCACAAUGGGCGGAAGCGUGAUGCAGCGACGUCGCGGGAGGGAUGGAGGCCUUCGGGUUGUGAACCUCUUUCGCCGGUGAAGAAGGUCCUGCUCUUUGGGGUGGGGUUGACGGUAGCCGGGUUAUGAAGCGCCGGCUAACUACGUG